rnacentral:rRNA from 1 species
UAGUGAUCCGGUGGUUCUGAAUGGAAGGGCCAUCGCUCAACGGAUAAAAGGUACUCCGGGGAUAACAGGCUGAUACCGCCCAAGAGUUCAUAUCGACGGCGGUGUUUGGCACCUCGAUGUCGGCUCAUCACAUCCUGGGGCUGAAGUAGGUCCCAAGGGUACGGCUGUUCGCCGUUUAAAGUGGUACGCGAGCUGGGUUUAGAACGUCGUGAGACAGUUCGGUCCCUAUCUGCCGUGGGCGUUGGAAGAUUGAAAGGGGCUGCUCCUAGUACGAGAGGACCGGAGUGGACGCACCACUGGUGUUCGGGUUGUCAUGCCAAUGGCAUUGCCCGGUAGCUAAGUGCGGAAGAGAUAACCGCUGAAAGCAUCUAAGCGGGAAACUUGCCUUGAGAUGAGUCUUCCCUGACCCUUUAAGGGUCCUAAAGGAACGUUUAAGACUAAGACGUUGAUAGGUUGGGUGUGUAAGCAUAGCGAUAUGUUGAGCUAACCAAUACUAAUGAACCGUGAGGCUUAACCUG